UAGGGAAUAUUGGACAACGGGCGCAAGCCUGAUCCAGCCAUGCCGCGUGAGUGAAGAAGGCCCUCGGGUUGUAAAGCUCUUUUGUCCGGAAAGAAAAGCAUCGGGUUAAUACCCCGGUGUUCUGACGGUACCGGAAGAAUAAGCACCGGCUAACUUCGUGCCAGCAGCCGCGGUAAUACGAAGGGUGCAAGCGUUACUCGGAAUUACUGGGCGUAAAGCGUGCGUAGGUGGUUCGUUAAGUCUGAUGUGAAAGCCCUGGGCUCAACCUGGGAAUGGCAUUGGAAACUGGCGGACUGGAGUGCGGUAGAGGGUAGCGGAAUUCCCGGUGUAGCAGUGAAAUGCGUAGAGAUCGGGAGGAACAUCCGUGGCGAAGGCGGCUACCUGGACCAGCACUGACACUGAGGCACGAAAGCGUGGGGAGCAAACA
rnacentral:rRNA from 1 species